UACGGAGGAUGCAAGCGUUAUCCGGAAUGAUUGGGCGUAAAGCGUCCGCAGGUGGCUGUGUAAGUCUGCUGUCAAAGAGCAAAGCUCAACUUUGUAAAGGCAGUGGAAACUACACGGCUAGAGUGCGUUCGGGGCAGAGGGAAUUCCUGGUGUAGCGGUGAAAUGCGUAGAGAUCAGGAAGAACCCCGGUGGCGGAGGCGCCCUGCUAGGCCGCAACUGACACUGAGGGACGAAAGCUAGGGGAGCGAAUGGG
rnacentral:rRNA from 1 species